GAUUGUUGGAGACUCCAGUGAAAGGUGUGGUGGGCUACAUAAAAGUAGCUCCCUUCCUUCACAAAGGUAGAGAUAUGGAAGGAGCAGGAUAAUUGGGUCUAUCCAAUAGGGGCCCUGGAAGGUGCAUAGGUAGCUGCAGGUAUUGGAGAAGUAAUAGAGAGAGCUGGAAGGCUAGAAAAGAAAACUUGGGAAGGGAGCAUUGACACUGAGUCUGCUUGUUACGGAGAUCACAGAGAAGGUGAAGAAAUCUAAGAAGUGAAGGAAGAGGUCAUAGAUAGACUCCUGCGAGUUAAAUCAGUAUUGUCAUGCACAAAACAAUGAUAGGAGCCGCUCUGUAACAAUUCAUGAAUACUACUCCCUGUCAUUGAAAAUACUGUCAUUGAAUUAAACUUCAAGGAGGAUUAUUUUCAACUCUAACUGAAGACAACACAUUAUGAUAUUAAAAGGUAAUCAAAUGGGGACAUACACAUGGAGGAAGCUGGACAGACUUAUGUAGCUGGAACUCAGACAGAGCUUGUUUUAUUUUUCACAGCUUUCAUGUGAUUGAACAAUUAUGUUUUUGAUUCUUUUUAAUUCUGUAAAUGAACAGCAUGCUCAUGAAAGUGAGGGAUUAAUAGCACUGGCAGGAGAGAGAUAUAGCAUGGCAAGGUGUAUGUAAGUUUCAUCAUACAGCUCUGCCAAUGUACCUCAGUCCUGACCUGCUAUUCCAGUCCUUGGUCUUUUCUGAACAGUUUGCCAGUUCUACUGAAUUGUAGCAAAUAAUAUGGGGGGAGAAGUUUGAAAUGUUGACAAAUGGAACCUAGGAUAAGACCUAAAUCUCCUAAUUCAUUCGCACUUUUACCUCACACAGAGCGCUCACAAGCACAUUGCACUGGGGUCAUAAAUAGCCACAUUCUCUUUAUACACAUAACUAACAUUUCUUGCCAGACAUAACAAGAAGCAUGCUAAUUUUUUGGCCAUGAGCAACCUUUGUCAAGGUAGCUCACAAAACAACAAUUGGGCCUUCAACUAUCUUUAAUGUACAAAGGUGACAACAGUGUUUGAGCAGAUUUCAUGUCUGCUUACAAUGUAAGUGAAACAGAGUAAUCUUAAUUCUGUUGCCCAAAGAACAUUUUCUUAAAUGUAAACUUCAUGCUGCAAAAUCCCCAAGAACUUUGUGAGAGUUAAUUUGUUUGUGAGAAAGAAAAUUAAUUUGGGGAACAAGCAACUUAUUCCCGAAAUCAUAAGAGCUUAUUUUCCUUCAGUUAAAGUUUAUAAAGCUCUCUGGGAUCCAUUCAGAUAAAAGGAGAUAUAUAAAUGCAAGAUCAUCAUCACUGUUUGUUUUGUAUACAACAUAUAUUGCUUCCCCCUUUCUUCUGGUGUGUGGGUGUUGGUAUGUGUGUGUGUAGUAAUUUGCAGCUGACCCACAGCAAAUUAUUAACCAUCUCUUCCCUAUGCUGGUGCAGCUACUCUGCCCAGUGAGCAGAGGGUGAGGUGGAGCAAAGGCUCCACCUAAUUCCCAUCUCUCCCUGCCCAUCAGCUCUUGUGAAGACGCAAGCAACCAAGUAGCCCUAGUUAUUCCUACACACCUGGAACAUCCAAGGUCCAGGUAGCCCAUGUACAGAGGGUUCUUACACCAUGCAGGCACACAGUCUUAAUCAAUCUAGCCCAAAGAAAACUAUGCUUAAACAGAGGUUUACCCCUUCACAGCCCAUCUUUUCCUCUUAUGUGUAACAGUCAAAUUCUGUGGUCAAAUUUUCACUGAAGUCACUCGGAGUUUUGCCUAAAUAAGGACCGCAGGAUUGUGAGAGGCUAAAGGUUUAUUACUGAUUUUCUCGUAACAGUCAAUUUUACAGAAAUAGCAUGUCAUCACAAAUCCAGGGUUAUGAUUUCACAGCAGGUGCCAAAAGAAGGAACAUGGGGCUCCAAGGGAAGAAGUCCUAAGACAAACACAAAUAUCUAAAUGGCAAAGUCAAAUGAAGUUUGUGCAAAGGUGUUUUUUUGAAAGCAAGAAAAUCCCUCUUUGAAAUAUCAGAGGGUCAAUCACGGAUUUAUUUCAAAAAUUUGAAUUAGAAUAAAUGCUACCUGAAUGAAGUCUGAGACAUUUCAGUGAGUCUCCUAAGUAGAGAAAUAAAACGAUUUUAUGCAACACUUUUUAUAAAGUAAUAACAAUAAAAAUUGUUGUGGACAGUGCUUUCAUGAGGGAUCUUCAGUACACUACACCAGAAGAAAAUACUUCACUAUUCCACAUUCUAGAUUUUUUUUUCCUACGUUAAAAACUUUUUCCUAGUCUAGAUAAUUUUAUUUUGUCAGCCAAGUAAUUUCUAUUGAUAUUUCUACUAAUUAUAGGAGUCCUAAAAUACUGAGCAAAAGUAUUAAUAAAAAAGUUAAUUUCAGCCAACAAAGCCAUUUAGUAAAAGCAGGCCAUGCUACAAUACAGUCUAUCCAAGCAGUGACAGAGAGUAACAGAGGCAACACACUCAACCAAACAAGUGCUUUGGAUCACUGUAGAGAGAAUUCCUUUGGACAGGUCGGGAAUGUUAACCAAACCUUCAACCCUUUUUAUUCACAACGAGAGUUGGUAUGAUUCAAUUCCUUUGAGGUAAAGGAGAUAAAAGAGGAACAGGGACUCUUUGCAACUGAGGUCCAGCCUACCCCCAGAAAAAAAAAUCUUUAAGUUUAGCCCUAAGCACUAACUCUUUAAGUCUCUCAGGUGACCACAUUAUCUCCAAGCUACAUUUAAUUCAGGACGAAUUAGUAUAAAUUGCCAACAUGUUACAUCUAUUUUGCAGCAGAUCAGAACAAGGACCAGUCAUGAAACUACUAUGAAAAGUUAUAAUACUUCCUAGUAAAUGAUAAGGCUUUGUCAGACACGGAACUAUUAGGAUGCUCACUUGACAAAGCUGUCACACAUUUAACUUUUACUAGUCUCUUAAGAGUGGACAGAAUAGCUCAAAAAGGAAAACUAUUAUUCUGAAAUAAUGGCUGCUUAGAGGUCCCUCUUAUCAUUAGCAACAAUUACUCCAUACAAGGAGGAUUAGGUUGGAGGUUUUUAAAAUGCGGAAUAACAUUUUUAUUAAUAAAUCAAAAGUUAUCACGUAGCAACAUUUGUGAAUUGAAGAACUGAGUUACUUGUGCCUGAAGAAAGCUGUAAACAUCUACUGGAGAUGGGAGGACAGCUCCACAGCAUGUUAACUUUCCAGAUGGAGCCCUCCCAAUCUUACCCGCCGCCAAGAGAAAAGGGAGUUUGUAGCAUUCAACGCAAUCUUGCAAUAGCUAAAAGAUCAGCAAUGAAAAGCAACACCUUUAUGGAGAGUUAAUCUGACUCAUGUCCCUCCUGUACAGACUGAGUUCUAGUUCCAAUCUACAUUUAAUAAUAAUCAAAACAAAUUUUACACAUGCCUUCAUCCCUAGGCACUCUGAUAUCCUUAGGCACUUGUCAUUUUAAACAUUUAUUGCUCACCAAUUUAUGAGUGUUUCUAAGCUGCACUGCACAUCCACUCCUUGGUAAGAAUUUUAUUUUAUUUUACAUUGCAGUAGUCUAUAAAGUUUAAAGAAACUUAGCAUUUGUUUAAGCAGUGGAGAAGUAAUAGCACACAACAGAAAACAUACAAACCUCUGAUUGUACAUGCCCCGGAAGUUAUAAUUUGCUCUAUAGUUUGGGAUUGGCUUUGGAUCUAGUGGCCUGUAGAUGGCAGGCUCUCCCCUUUUCAUAGCCAGACCAUUCAGCUCCACUGUUGGAGUUAUACUGCCUGUAAUAAAUAAGACCAUAUGUAAGACUCUUCAACAGUAAAGCAUGUUAAAACCAUACAUACAGUGUUGGGGGUGGGUGGGAAGGCUGUAAAACAGAUCUUGAUUUUCCUACUAAACUAAAAAAGCAGUGACUAAGAAGUUGCAUCAAAUUCCAGUAUAAAAUGGGGGUACAGAUCCAACCUUAAUCAAUAAAUGUAAACAAGCACUUAAAUUGACAUCUUCAUGUAUUCUCUUGGAAUCUGGGCAGACAACUCUGCCCAUAUGUGAUUACUAUUAUCAGACUGGUUUAUCAGCUUUGAACAAUCUCAAGAACGCCUUUAAAAUACUAUGAAGCUUUUUGAAAUUAGUACCAGUAAAAGAAUCACGUUUCUUUCCACUGGAUGCCACUAAAUAAAUGGAUGAAAACCAAAAAUCUCUUAUACAAAAAGUUUACAGCUAUUGAAACAAGAUAGCAGUAGCAUACAUUACUGUAAUAAUUUAAUAACAAUUUGAUAGAAGUCAGAACUAAAUGAUUUCGUUUCAAGAGAUGAGAGGUAAAAUCUAUGACUAAAUUAAAAACUUUAACUUUAGUAACUUAUGAACUGGAGACUAAAUUCAUUAAAAUUUAGUGCUACUACAGCCAUCUCCUGGUCAAAGAGUGCAAAAUAGUAAACAAACAACUACCAUUGUGUGUGUAAUUAUUUAUUCUCCAUAAUGUCAAAUAUGAGGCUGCAAUAAUCAUAAAAUGCCUUAUUUAAAAAGCAAAACCAUUAGAAGACUCAAAUCAUUUAAUAUAACUGUCUUGUUAUUUAUUUCAGGGGAAAUCUCACUGGCAAAUUAUAAACCAAAAUGUGUCCCACUUCUACAGCGAGAAGAAAAAUCCAAACUGAGUUUAAAUAGGUGUAUUCCAUUAUCUAAAACUAUAAUCAGAUGUGGGCAUUAAUCCAGCCCAGAAGAGCAAUAAUUAUAAUAAUAAUAAACCAGUUAUUUGGGUUUUAUGUGCCAAUGUUGCAGGUUUUAUGCGGUGCUAGGCUAAACUACCACUGAACACAAUUUUGAGUUUUUCCUCAAAGGAAGGACCGCAAGGACUGCAGAAUUGGACUUCAAGUGACUAUGAAUUCAGCUACACAAUAAAAAUACAGGUAGUUACUAGAUCAAAAGAUACCUGUGCUUUGAAAGAAAAGGUCUUAAACAAAGAUGACAGCAUCAUAUGAAUGCCUGUAUACGCAAUAGAUUUUUUAACUUUAAGGGAAAUUCUUAUUACAGGCAGUCCUCGGACUUACAACACAAUUGGUUCCUGAAAAUUGCGUCGUUAAGUCAAAACGUUGUAACUCGGAACUGCAAUCCGCUCCACUGCAGGACCAAGUGUCAUAAAGUUGAAACCAAUUGUCAUAAGUCGAAUCGGGGUAUCAAUUCAGAAACGUUGUAAGUGCCGUUCGUCAUAAGUCAAGGACUCCCUUUAUUCUUUUUUCUAUUCCAUACUUUUCAAUUAAAAAUAUUAGAAGAGGCUAGUCCAAAACUCCUAUCACCUGUAUAACAUGCUGCCACAACAAGAGCCAAAUCCAAGGCUCUUCUUCCUCAGGGUGCUGCACCUGCUUCCACUGAACUAAACAGCAGAAGUCCCACUGACUUCAGUGGAAACAGGAUCAAGCCCUGAGCCAGAGGAUCUGGAAGAGUUAUAGGAGUAAUAUGCUCAGCCCUAAGGGAGUGGAAGAUGGGAAAGAAAACCCUAGAUUGUUCACAAACAAUCCCUUCUAGACAAGGCUCAGGUCACUAUUGAUGGGAUCUGGAGAAAGGUUUAUCCAGCUCUCCUCAGUCAGACAGGCCCUUAGUGCAAAGUGAAUCUUUUUGAAAGUGGUUGAGAGAAAGUAAUGAGGAAUAAUCGUAAAACAAAUAAAGGGAUCUUUUUAUAUUUCAUUAAUUACUAUUUUAUCAGACAAGAAUAAGUCACUGAGCAUGUGACUGAGAUUCAUAAGCACCGAGGGAUGCAUUUCCUGUGUUUGUAUUUUAUUUUCUCAUGUACACCAGGUUAUGUUGCGUGCAGCGUGCAACAUGCAAGUAACAUCUCCAGAUGAAGGGCACAUGACUCCACAAACGUCCUUCUGAUUAACUGAAUAAUAAAGUAUGCAGAACUAGCUGGAAGAAAUAAUUUAUGUUGCUACAAAGGAAAAUCUAUUAGGCAGGGAAUUAUGUACUGAAAUUUUUGUGCCAAAUUCUGCCCAAUUUCUAUAUUCACCUUCAGCGGCAUUGCACAUGGAGUAAGUCAGGUAGAAUUUGGCCUUUUCCCUGAAAAGCCAGUUUGCAAGCUUCAGUAUUCUUACUAAUGUAAAAAUGGUCAGUUCAAUCUUGUUACUUUUGCGCUUAGUUACUGUUGAUCACAUAAACUGGCUUGUACCUUUACCUUCAGAGGUGAGUCUUGCAGAAGUAAAUGUAUUCACGUGCAGUUCAGCAGCUUCUGCUACAGCAGAUAAAAAGAAUUACCAUGCACACUCACUGUAAGGUUCUUAAUUAUAUGUUACCUUAUCUUCCAGCUCUACUUAUGCCUACUAUAAAUACUGUAUAACCUCUAUAAAGCAUCUAAACCUGCUGUUCCAUGACAAACAAGAAGAUUCAUUAUUUGGAGGGAAAUGAAUAGGCAACAUACCUGGGUUAUUAUUAAUGUUAUUUUUGGGUGGUCUGGGAGUUGGUUUGGGAAGGUUCGUUUUGUUCAAAGCUUUGCUAGCAGCAGCAUGUUGAGCCUUUUUAAUACUGCUCCCUUCCGCUUCCCAUGUCUGCUCA